CUGGCUUGAAGACAGCUGCCUUCUGGAUGACCCUCACAGAGGGGAGGGAGGAGAAGGGCUGGGGAGGGAGGGAGGGAGAGGGAGCCGUAGCAUUUCUGAGUCUCAUUUUUGUCAUCUAUGAAAUGGAGAGAAGAGCUCCUCAGGUUGUGAGGAUCAGGCGAGGCACUGAAUGGAAAGGGCUGGGUGUGUAAUGAGUUUGCCAUAAGUGUCCACCACUGCUACAAUGAUGACUAUGGACUCCUGGUCUCCUUGACCUCAACAGCCCUCUGGGACCAAGCUACUCCUCUGCUCCAAAUCAAGCUCUGGGUCUUAGCUGGCUGUCGAGGGACUGAGUCUAGAAGGAGCAGACUCACCAGGGGGCUCAGGAAAGGAUGUGUCUAGGGCAGCGAAAGCCCAGUCCCUGAGGGGGAGGAGGGGCCUGCAGUGGGUAAGUCAGCCAGCCUUGCAUAUAGGGUCACACUUCCAUUUCCCACACUUUGCAAGUGCCCCCCAAGGAAGAGGGGAGGGCAUUGCGCUACCGUCAGCUUGGGGCUGAUGCUGGCCGAAAGAGAGCAGGUGUGUGAUCUGGAAGCCGGCCAAGCCGACUCAGCCCCCAGCUGGGGGAGAAGGCAGCGGUCCCCUGCGGUUUCAGUUCUGCGGCUGUUCCUCACAUGGGCUGUCCUUUGCACAGCUCUGCUCUCCGCUCGAGGCCUGGGCUGAGGGAGGAGGGAGCCCGCCGUAUUCGGCUGGGUCUGUUUUUUCCUUUCUGCUCUCAGGAGAAGAAGCACGUUUGCCAUGGUGUGAAUAAUUUUUCUCUUCCAAACCUCAGUCCUUUUCUGAGAAAGCGAAGUUGGGUUUUGUUCAGUGAACAGCCUGCACAACGGUGACCCACAGCCCUGACCGGGGCGGGAAGAAAGAUGGAUCCUAAAGGCUGUAGAAGAUGAAGGCUCACAAGAAACUGAGAUAAGAGAAGAGCUGGAAAGUGGAUAUGAUGGCGGGAGCUGAAGCAGCCAUCUGACAUCACAGGAUGGAAGCUAUGUUUCCAGAAUAGCAGAGCAAAUAAGAGGAAACUGGGUCUCCAGCAUCAAGGAGUUACAUACCAACUCUGGAAAACCGAUGCUCAGACUUGUAUCAGGAAAAUUAACUUCCCAUUCUCAUGUCUCUUUUUUUCAGCAGCCUCAAUUGUAUCUUUUUUCUUUCUUUCUUUCUUUUCAGGGCUGUACCUGCAGCAUAUGGAAGUUCCAAGGCUAGGAGUCGAAUGGGAGCUUCAACUGCCAGCCUCAGCCAUAGCCACAGCAAUGCCAGAUCCUAGACAAGUCUGAGAUGUACACUGCAGCACACAGCAAUGCUGAAUCCUUAACCCACUGCCUGGGGCCAGGGUUCAAACCAGCAUCCUCAUGGAUACUAGUCGGAUUCAUUACUGCUGAGCCAUAACAGGAAUUCCUCAACUGUAUCUUAACUAAUAAAUCCCUAUUUGCAACUGAGUCUGUGGCCCUUGGCUUAAUUGGAAUUGAAGUAUAAAGGAAAAACAAUUUAUAAUUUGCAAGUUAUUUUUCCACGUAAACGGGACCUAUGUGGCCAGCAUCAAAUGGCAAAGCAAAUUGCACUGACAACUGAGAGGAGGCAUAAUUGUCAUUAUAGUUAAAGCAGUAUUGGAAGACCCUGGCCAUAUCUCUCAGGCUCUGUUUGUAGGUGGUGCAAUUUUCUGGCUGUGGAUGGUUUGUCUACGUGACUCCUGAGGGGCUGCUAUUGCCACAGCAACAUGUCUGGGGUCCACAGGCCACACUCUCUUCUCUUCUUCAUCUUUGAAGGCCACACUUAAGCAGGCAGCCCUCCCACGUUUUCUCGGCACUGACCACUGAGUUGAAGAGAAGUAGAAACUUCUCGGUUGGUAUUGUUCUGACUCCUAGGGGUCCAAGAGAGGCUCCCUGGUACUGAGCAUGAAACAAUUGGGGAUCCUCACAGUUUCAAUCUGAUCAGAACCCGCUGUACUAGAGGAGGGUAAAGGUCAGUUAUGAAAAUGAUCUAUGAUAAAAAAAGAACCUACUAAUUCCCCAGAGGCAGGUGCCAAAAAUGACAUGUUAUUGUGUUCUUUAGAAUGAUGAAGGAGAGUAUUGAAUGAGAUUUGGGUAAUAAUAAUGCCAAACUGUUUAGCUUGCCUGUGACAGAGCUCCCCAAACCAGUACUAUUUGGGGAAAUAGCAGGAGAACAGAAAAAACAAUUAAUGAGCACUUGAUGUGCCAUAAAUGUUAUGUAUGUUUUCUCAUGUAAUUAUCUCAAAAAUCCUAUGAGAUAGUAUAACUGCUUUUUUUUUUAAUUUUCUUAAAGCAGACAUGCUAAGAAAAGUUAAUGUGACAAAGAUCACACAGGAAGUAAAAAGCCUGGAUUUGGACACUCGAGUGACUGAUCUACAUUCCAUAUCAUGCAGUCUCAUGGAUGUGCUAAGGCUGGCCUGAUCAGAAGAAGGAGGCAUGGACAAAACUGCAGAGAAUAGAGGUAUCUGGGUGAGGAUGGCAGCCAGUAAUAGAUUCAGGAAAACAAGAAAAGAAAGUGGGAGAGAGACAUGUUGAAAAGACUGUACACCUGCAUGAGAUCAUCUUAAGGCCCCUACACGGUACAGAUCAAGAUGCAUGCAACUCUCUGGUCCCUGAGGAAGAAGGGAUUCUGGAAGAGCAAGGUGGUAGAUACACAUGGGGAGGGAUUACCCGGCAGCGAGAUGAGAUAAAUCUGAAAAGAUAAAUUUUACUAUGCUCUUUACAUUGAAGGAUAUUGCUGAUUAAUUGAUGGGUAUGAUUUGGAGUAGAGAAGGAAUUACAAAUUAAUACUUUGCCAGACAGAGGCGUUACCUUUUCUGCUUAUUUAAAUAAAUAUGCUUUUGCCAUUUCUGGAAAGUUUUUCUUUGAUAUGUAUAACCAGGUUAUUCUUUUAGAUAGAUGACUCUGUCCAUCCAUACUGUUCUGCAAGAUCAAAGGGAAAACAAUCCCCAAAGCUAUGUUCUGAGACAAGUAAUGCCAUCAAGCAUCAAGCAGGAUUGUAUCAACUUUCCUUUUUUAAAUUAUCUCUUAGCGUCUGCCUCUUCAGAGAAAAGUUCAUCUUUAUUUUCAUUUCGUGGUAAAAUAUUUUCUAACAGCAUCAGUGAAACCCCAUUCAAAGUCAAUGACCAGCUUUUGAGACAUAAGACACGUGCCAAGUCUGUUUGGCACAAAGUAACUACUAACAGAUUUAAUAUAUUUCUUUCUUGCUCAGCCAUUGACAGGUGUCUGACAGCUCCCCACUCCCUCAGCCUCAAGUCAAUUAGUAAGAUGGAUAAAAUCCUCAGAAAGGGGGAAGUUAUCUAAGAUGUAGCUGUUUACGCUUCAUUGGUGGUGGGCAGACAGGCUGAGGUCCGAGAUAUCUCCAUUGAGGCUGUCACGAAACGUCCUCUUCCUGGGGUCAAUUGAGUUCUUUCUACAGAAUGAGUCUCAGAUGACUGAAUGCCACUCUCCAGACAGGAGCGGGGAAGGAUACAAAACAGAAAUAUUGAAGUGAAAAAAUGCAUCAAAUACACCUAAUCUUUUUCUUUAUUUAAUUAUUUUUAUUUUUUCCAUUAUCGCUGGUUUACAGUGUUCUGUCAGUUUCCACUGUACACCAAAGUGACCCAGUCACACACAUAUAUACACUCUUUGUCUCACAUUAUCCUCCAUCCUGUUCCAUCAUAAGUGACUGGGUAUAGUUGCCUGUGCUAUACAGCAGGAUCUCAUUGCUUAUCCCCUCCAGUUGCUAUAGUUUGCAGCUAUUAAUCCCAGACUCUCAGUCCAUCCCACUCCCUCCUCCUCGGCAACCACAAGUCUGUUCUCCAAGUCCAUGAGUUUCUUUUCUGUGGAAAGAUUCAUUUGUGCUGAAAUACACCUAAUCGUAGUUUAGCCUAGCCUAUCUUAAAAGUGCUCGGAACCCUUAUAUUAGCCUGGAGUAGGGCAAAAUCAUCUAACACAAAGCCUACUUUAUAAUAAAAGUGCUGAAUAUCUCAUGUAAUUGAAUACUGCACUGAAAGUGAAAAGCAGAAUGGCUGUACUAGGUACAGAGCAAUUACCAGCAUCAUGAGAGACGAGUGGACCACAUAUCAUGAGCCUGGAAAAGAUCAAAAUUCAAAAUUUGAAAUUACAGUUUCUACUGGAUGGGUAUCACUUUUGCAACACUGCAAAGUCGAAAAAUCAUAACUUGAACCAUCAUAAGUCCAAGACGGUCUGCAGUUGGGAGCUGGAAAAUACGUUGCCUCCCCAAAGCUCUCUGUCUUACGUCUCCCGCCUGCCUUGCACUGGAUGAAAAACAGAAAUGCAGCCCUCGGUGCCAUGGACAAUGGUUCCCCAUCGCUGUGACCCUGGCCUUGUGGGAAGGAAGUGAAAAUAAUUUGGGCAAAAACAUGUCCUGUCUGUCCUGUCCGUUCUUCCUGUGGGGCCCCCCCGGGUAGAAGCAAAGGGUUUUGCAUGUCAGGCUAGAAUAUUAGGGAAAGAGGAAACAGUGUCUAAAGUGAGAUUGGGGGGUCAGAGAUAGUUCAAAAUGUAACGAUUUCCUUUUGCUUUAGGAACUGCUCUUUUCCUCUCCCCUUUCUUUUCUUUUCUUUUUUAAAGUGAAGUUUCCAAGGAGAAAAGGCAGUAUUUGCCAAAUGCUACAAUGUACUUUGCACUGAUUGGGCUCAGGACAUGAAGGCCCAGCUUUACUCUGGCAGUAAUUUAAAAUAAUAAUAGUGGUAGGGUACUUUACCACUAGGCUUUAGGUUGCUCGUUUAACGCUGCAAUAACCCUGUGAGAUGGGAAUUGUCAUCCUCUCUGCUGGGUGAGGAAGUGGAAGCUCAGAAAGGAUGAACGGCUUGUCCUCGGUGACUCGGCUGGAACUGGUUCGAGAUGGCGUUGCUGGCCAGGAGAUCCACUUUAUUUUCAGUCGAGCUUUGGAAGCAGAAGGGCUAA
ensembl:lncRNA